rnacentral:rRNA from 1 species
UACGUAGGGGGGCAAGCGUUUGUCCGGAAUUAUUGGGCGUAAAGAGCGCGUAGGCGGUCCGAUAAGUCGGCUGUGAAAAGUCAGGGGGCUCAACCCCUUGAAAGCCGGCCGAUACUGUCGGACUAGAGUCCGGAAGAGGCAAAGUGGAAUUCCCGGUGUAGCGGUGAAAUGCGCAGAUAUCGGGAGGAACACCAAUGGCGAAGGCAGCUUGCUGGGACGGUACUGACGCUGAGGC